rnacentral:misc_RNA from 1 species
UAUUUAUAAUGUUAAUAAUAAGUGGUUAUAAUUGUAGUAAUUAAUAGUCGAUGGGUAGUGGUGGCUAAGUGGUGUGGUGGUAGCAACAUCAAUAACUAGAUGAUGAUGGUAGUAAUAAGGUGAGUUAGUGGUAAUGGUAGUAGCCAGACUGUGUUAGAGGUGAUAAAACUAAGUAAUGAUAACUGUGGUAGUAGUGACAGAGUAUGAGUAAUAGUUAUAGUAGUAAUAGUAGCCGAGCAGUGGUCAUGAUGAAUGAUAAUAAAUAAAAAAAAUCAAAACAAAUAAUCAUAAAACAUAUUUAUUUUUAUAUGUAAUAACCAUUACGUUAUUUUAAAUAUAAUUAAUUACGUUAUAAAAUUGUCAUUUCAUUACGUCAAAUCUUUUAUGUUACCAAACAAUAUAAUCAAAUAUGUAAUAUAAUUACGAUUAUAUUACAACUUUGAUUACGUCAUACCAAAUAUGACUUGAAGAAAUAUGACUUGAAGAAUUUAUUUAGUCAUUUGGACAAAAUAAAUAAAUAGGAAAACACAUAUAAUAAGUAGGAAAAUUAAAUGAUAUCUCGUUUUAUACGUAUAUAAAUUAAAUGUUAACAAGUUAUUCUACAUUAACCACAAAAUUAGUAAUUGUACUAUUAUUAAAAAAAACUAUAAAAAAUAAUAAAAAAAAACUUAUGUAAAUUCUUGCAUGGC